UUUCCGCCGCUCACACCGAUACUCUCUCUUUUGAUUAACCAAUCUCUUUCCAUUUGAAAAGGAGACCAUGGGCAAUCAAAUCUCUUCUUUUUAGAACCACGAACAAUAGAAAACUGGAUCCAAAAAAAAUUAAGAAAUAAAGAAUGAGAUGCUAUCAUCUUCCUCUUCAUAAUUUUGCUUUGAUUGCUACUGUUCAUCAUCAUAUAAAUCAUAAAACAACACACCUCACUCUCCAAAAUAAUAAAAUACCCUUGCACCCUCACCAUGAAAGUGGCAUUUUUACUUCAAAGUUCAAAUCCAAAUCUCUAAACCGUGAAAACCAUAAACUCUCCCUCUCCACUGUUUUGCUUUUUCCCGUGACAAAAUCACCUAUAUGUCCGACCAACUCAAGCUCAACACCAUCCCACUGUAAUUAUUAGAUUUUACUUUUUUUUUUUAAAUUUUUUGUUGUUGUUGUUGAAGUCUUUGUUUUUUUUUUAUAUAUAACUAAAACAUAAAAAUAAUAAUUAAUAUUUUAUUAAGAUUAGAUUUUUCUUUAUAAAAAAAUCAUAAAAAAUACUUGUUUUAUUUUAUUUUUUCAAUAUUUUUAAAAGACCAAAAAUAUUUAUCUUUUAGUAUUUUCUUUUUAUGUUAAAAAUAUUAAAAAGAUUUUCUUUUAGUUAGAAUUAAUUUUGUUUGAAUUAAUGAUAUCUUCAUGUUUCAUUUGUUAACUUGGGACUUUUGAUUUGAUUGUGACAUAUUGGCUUUGACCCCUUGAUUUGGAUUUUCUUAUUUCAUUCAUUUCAGGCUUUGAGUUGUUUCUCUGUUAUCUCUGGUUUUAUCUAUUUGUUUAGGCUUGUAUUUAUAUCUUUGUGUAUAUAUCUCUUAGUCUAUUUUUAUAUUUGUCUCCCCUGAACUCUUUUAAAAUAAAAGGAUAUAUUAAGAAUUGCAAUAUUUAUGCCCGAAUUCGUGUAAAAAAUGGUGGAAUGUGAUGAUUUCGAUGAUUUAAAUUUAAUAUAUCCUAAUAAAGAAUGAUAAUAUUUUCAAAUUUUUUUGCCCUCACUUAUCUCGUGUGAAAGAAAAUUGUGUGGUAGUUGAAAGCAUUAUUUAUGCUACCUGCCUCAUAAGCCUGCCUCAUAAGCUGUGUAAUGGCAUGUGCCUCAAGGUACCAAACUGUCCAACUGUUCCUUUCCAUAUAUAUUCAAAUCUUUGGGCCACCGGUAUCACUGCACUUUUCAAAAUGUAGUUUUGUCUCUUUUGGUCCCAUUUCAACAAAAUUAAUAAUCUAUUCAUGUAGUUCUUAUUUCUCUCCAUCAUUUCAUAGUAAUUAGAAGUGCUUUGAAAAUAACAGCUCCCAAUGCAGUGCAUAUCAUGGAUGAAAAAAGCAGAUAAGUGCUUUCAAGGUGAAUUUCUAUUUAAAAUAUUUAAACUAAUUAGUGCUCUAAUUUCAGGAAUUGACAGGAAAUAAGUAUAAUUGUUCUGCUUUGAGGAAAACCAAUACUAUGGUUGAGCAUUGCAAGCAAGUGCGAGUUAUUGAAGAUAAUGAAGUUGUGCAUAUCAAGCGCUUUUUCCGUGCGACGAGCACAUUCUUUUCUUGAAAUGGAGAUAGAAAAAAUAAACAAAGUUCAUUAUGAACACUAUAUGCAAAAGAAAAUCUUUGAGCAAGCUAAUUCUUUAAUAACCACAAUGAGGGGCAGGCUUAUACGCGGGGAUCUAGCUAAUCCAAGUCUAUUUAGUUAGGUGGUCUAUUCAAGGUUCAUAUAAAUGCUGGUGUUGAGAUUGGUGUGCCAAGUACCAAGACAAAGUCAGCGAGGUCCUGAAGCUUGAUAAAGAGGUGAAGAAACUAGCAAAUUUAUUGAUUGUUGAAAAGUCUCUUCUUGUCCUUGGGAGGGGAUGUAACUAUGCGACUGGAGGGAGCUUUGAAACUACACGGAAUGGCAUGUCUGCAUAGUUAUGGGAUACUCGCAGGCGAAAUGAAGAACGACUUUUUGGCAUCUGUCGAUGGAGGUUUCAUGAUUGUUAUUGCUACAAGCGAUAAUUGCUUCAGGUUGGCAGCAAACAUCAAUCUGUCAUACAACAACUUCAUGCCCACCCACAUCGUUUCAUACUUGUGUUCAAAAGGGGAUGCUGAUUCUGUUUGCCUGGUAAGAAGUGCAAGACAUUUGAAGUUCCAAAUGUUGACGAGUGUCUUCAACUUGUUAUAAAUGCAGUUCCGUUAUAGGUAUCUUUUUAUUCUAUUUUUUUGGUCUUCAACCUGUUAUAAAUGUCGUUCCGUUACAAGUUGGAUGACAACUGAAUUGGUAUAUUUGAUAGCAACAACCUAUAAUGUGGUAUAUGCUCCGUUAACAAAUAUCAAUGACAACUUUUAUGACGAUACUUGUGUCCCCUUUCAUGGGAAAAGACUGUCUGAAGAAAAAGUUAUCGUAACAGGUCAUAUGUUCGGAAACCACCUUGGGAAGGUUAUUAUUAUUUUUUUAAAUUUUCUUUUGUUAGCUUUUAAAACUUAUUACAGUAUAUUAUUUUUUAAUAUUAUGCUGUUGUUUAUUAAUAUUUUGUUACUUUUAGGUUCUUUUAAAACAAUCUAAUCCCAUGUCCAACUUCAAUAUGCAACAACCCUAUUUUAUUUACUAAGUUGGAACGAAGAAAUUGGUGUCAUAUUUUUCAAAAAUCUAAAACAUUUCAACAAAAGUAUAGUCAUACCAUCAAUCACCGAGUAGAGAAAACGAAAGAGAAGAAAGAAUAUCCCUUGAAAUAAUCUGAAACUUAAGAAAAAGAAGACAAACACUUACAAUUUAAGAGAUCAAGUCUGCAACUCAUCUAAAACUCAUCUAAAACCAUGAAAGAUGGUGGCACAAGAGUGGAGUUGGAUAAUGUGAAGAGAAAAAAACUUCAUUGUUUAUACACACUAAGACCAGAGUACAAAAUCAACCCAACUAUGUCGAUGCAAUGAUUCAAUUACCUCGACAUAAUUGAAUUGUUUUUUUGUAGUCAGGGCUUAUAGUGGGUAAAAAUGGAAGUUUCUUUCUCUUCACAUUAUCCAAUUUCACUCCUUUGCGACCAUCCUUCAUAGUUUGAGAUGAGUUGCUGACUGAAUCUCUCAAAUUGUAAGUGGUUGCCUUCUUUCUCUUAAGUUUCAUACUGACUAUUCUUUCUUCUCUUUAGUUUUCUCUAUUCAGGAAUUGGUGAUAUGACUAUGCUUUCAUGUUGAAAUGUUUUAGAUUUUUGAAGAAUAUUGCACUAAUUUCUUUGUUGCGGUGAACAAAAUAUUUGCAUAUUACAAUUGGGCAUAGGAUAUGGUUGUUUUAAAAGAACCUAAAAGGCAACAAAAUAUUAACAAACAAUAUAUUAUAAUAACGUUUUCAAGCAUAAUAUUAAUAAAUAGUAUACUGUAAUAACGUUUUCAAAGCCAAGAAAAUAAAAUGUAAAAAAUUAUAAACUUCACAAAGUGGUUACCAAACACAUAGCUAUUACGAUAACUUUUUCUUCGAACGGUAUUUUUCUAUGAAUGGGGACACAAGUAUCGUCAUGAAACUUAGCAUUGAUAUUUCUUAA